AUUGAACGCUGGCGGCAGGCCUAACACAUGCAAGUCGAGCGGAUGAAGGGAGCUUGCUCCUGGAUUCAGCGGCGGACGGGUGAGUAAUGCCUAGGAAUCUGCCUGGUAGUGGGGGAUAACGUCCGGAAACGGGCGCUAAUACCGCAUACGUCCUGAGGGAGAAAGUGGGGGAUCUUCGGACCUCGCGCUAUCAGAUGAGCCUAGGUCGGAUUAGCUAGUUGGUGGGGUAAAGGCCUACCAAGGCGACGAUCCGUAACUGGUCUGAGAGGAUGAUCAGUCACACUGGAACUGAGACACGGUCCAGACUCCUACGGGAGGCAGCAGUGGGGAAUAUUGGACAAUGGGCGAAAGCCUGAUCCAGCCAUGCCGCGUGUGUGAAGAAGGUCUUCGGAUUGUAAAGCACUUUAAGUUGGGAGGAAGGGCAGUAAGUUAAUACCUUGCUGUUUUGACGGUACCAACAGAAUAAGCACCGGCUAACUUCGUG
rnacentral:rRNA from 1 species